AAUGGCAGGUCAGCAUACUGCCGUGAAUACGUUCCCGGGCCUUGUACACACCGCCCGUCACACCAUGAGAGUUGGGAAUACCCGAAGCCUGUGAGCUAACUUUAGAGGCAGCAGUCGAAGGUAGAAUCAAUGAUUGGGGUGAAGUCGUAACAAGGUACC
rnacentral:rRNA from 1 species